rnacentral:rRNA from 1 species
UACGUAGGGUGCGAGCGUUAAUCAGAAUUACUGGGCGUAAAGCGUGCGCAGGCGGCUUUGCAAGACAGAUGUGAAAUCCCCGGGCUCAACCUGGGAACUGCAUUUGUGACUGCAAGGCUAGAGUACGGCAGAGGGGGAUGGAAUUCCGCGUGUAGUAGUGAAAUGCGUAGAUAUGCGGAGGAACACCAAUGGCGAAGGCAAUCCCCUGGGCCUGUACUGACGCUCAUGCACGAAAGCGUGGGGAGCAAACAGG